rnacentral:misc_RNA from 1 species
GUGAACAUUUCCACAUUCUCAAUUGGUUUUACAUGAAUUUGUAGGCAUUGACCAUACAAUGCAGUCUGUGACUACAAUUCAACCAAAUACUUAUCUGCACCCCUGAACAAUUUGGGAUUGACCUAUUGAGCACAUAAACUAUUUUUUUAACCUAUUGAAUACUUAAUAAAAUCAUAAAAAUUGAACACAAAUUGGUACAAUCAGCACAAAUAGUGUAAUCAUGAGCCAAGGAGCAAGUAAACAGCAAAAGAGGGAUCCAACAUGGCAGAUUUAAUGGCUGUGAUAUGACUAAAAGAUCCAGCUGCUGCAAAGAAAAGAGAAAAUCUCCUUCCCCUUCAUCUUUCUCUCGCAAUCCUUUUCCAGCCCUUUUCACUUCCAUCACAAUUUUUCUCCAUGAAAGCUCCAGUAAGGUUUUUCAAAUGAUAUCUCCUCACAACUUCAACAAAUUUGCAAUUUAAAUUUAAACAAACCAAAACAUAGAAUUUUGUUCACUAAUCUGAGCUCCAUUGCCAAAUUGGCAAUUCAUUUUUUUUUUUCCGCAGAAAUUUUGCAUUUUAUAAGGCUUUGCAUUCCAUGAAACCCAGAACCAUCUCUCUGCCAUGUUGGUUGUGCUUUGUUCAUUCCAAUGCCUCGCAACCAUUGCCACAACCACAUCCCACUUUCAAGGACUUAUUCUGCUCUGAGUCCACCAAUGACAAGUAGGAGAUGAAGGCAAUAAACAACAGUGUAAACUUUUCACCCUCUGAUUUUGAUUUUGAAGAUGAUCAGAACAAGUAGAGUGUUCAAGCUACGAAAGAAAUUGGAAGAAAAAACUCCCUCUGCCUUAUGAUCCCUUUAACAAGAAGCCUGUCAUCAAGGAGCACAAUGACCCCAAAGACUGAACUUCAAUUCAUCUUCCAUAAGAUG